GACGAACGCUGGCGGCGUGCCUAAUACAUGCAAGUCGAGCGAAUGGAUUAAGAGCUUGCUCUUAUGAAGUUAGCGGCGGACGGGUGAGUAACACGUGGGUAACCUGCCCAUAAGACUGGGAUAACUCCGGGAAACCGGGGCUAAUACCGGAUAACAUUUUGAACCGCAUGGUUCGAAAUUGAAAGGCGGCUUCGGCUGUCACUUAUGGAUGGACCCGCGUCGCAUUAGCUAGUUGGUGAGGUAACGGCUCACCAAGGCAACGAUGCGUAGCCGACCUUGGAGUGGGAUCGGCCACACUGGGACUGAGACACGGCCCCGAGUCCUACGGGAGGCAGCAGUAGGGAAUCUUCCGCAAUGGACGAAAGUCUGACGGAGCAACGCCGCGUGAGUGAUGAAGGCUUUCGGGUCGUAAUACUCUGUUGUUAGGGAAGAACAAGUGCUAGUUGAAUAAGCUGGCACCUUGACGGUACCUAACCAGAAAGCCACGGCUAACUACGUGCCAGCCGCCGCAGUAA
rnacentral:rRNA from 1 species